UCUUUUUGUUCUUCUCAGCUCAUCUGUUUUGGGUUUCUUCUGUAAAUUCGUUCUUAUUUCUGCUUUCCUCCUUGAAUUGGGGUUUUUUAGUUUCUGGGUUUCUGCCAAUUGGGGUUUUUUUUUUUUUUUUUGUAGAUUUUUCUUUUCGAAUUUUUAUUGGAUUCUUUUAGUUAAUGGGUUUUUCUCAAUUGGGUUUUUGGGGGAGUUGAUAUUUACACCCCUGGUUUUUGUUACAUACACCCUCUUUGAAAGGGGUGUGUCAUUAAUGGGGGUGUAAAUGUCAUUUCUCGUUUUCCGACUAAAAAGGGGAUUUUUUCUUCAUUUAUUUAUUACCCUGGUUUUUGUUAUAUUUACCCAUUUUCUUAUUCUAAUUACUACUUUGCCUUUUUCUUUUUUUCUUUUUUUCUUUUU